GGAAGGGUGUGUAUUUAAUAGAUGCACAUUUUGACGUUAGCUGCAGAAGAAGCACCGGCUAACUCCGUGCCAGCAGCCGCGGUAAUACGGAGGGUGCGAGCGUUAAUCGGAAUUACUGGGCGUAAAGCGCAUGCAGGUGGUUUGUUAAGUCAGAUGUGAAAGCCCGGGGCUCAACCUCGGAACUGCAUUUGAAACUGGCAGGCUAGAGUACUGUAGAGGGGGGUAGAAUUUCAGGUGUAGCGGUGAAAUGCGUAGAGAUCUGAAGGAAUACCGGUGGCGAAGGCGGCCCCCUGGACAGAUACUGACACUCAGAUGCGAAAGCGUGGGGAGCAAACAGGAUUAGAUACCCUGGUAGUCCACGCCGUAAACGAUGUCUACUUGGAGGUUGUGGCCUUGAGCCGUGGCUUUCGGAGCUAACGCGUUAAGUAGACCGCCUGGGGAGUACGGUCGCAAGAUUAAAACUCAAAUGAAUUGACGGGGGCCCGCACAAGCGGUGGAGCAUGUGGUUUAAUUCGAUGCAACGCGAAGAACCUUACCUACUCUUGACAUCCAGAGAACUUAGCAGAGAUGCUUUGGUGCCUUCGGGAACUCUGAGACAGGUGCUGCAUGGCUGUCGUCAGCUCGUGUUGUGAAAUGUUGGGUUAAGUCCCGCAACGAGCGCAACCCUUAUCCUUGUUUGCCAGCACUUCGGGUGGGAACUCCAGGGAGACUGCCGGUGAUAAACCGGAGGAAGGUGGGGACGACGUCAAGUCAUCAUGGCCCUUACGAGUAGGGCUACACACGUGCUACAAUGGCGCAUACAGAGGGCGGCCAACUUGCGAGAGUGAGCGAAUCCCAAAAAGUGCGUCGUAGUCCGGAUUGGAGUCUGCAACUCGACUCCAUGAAGUCGGAAUCGCUAGUAAUCGUGGAUCAGAAUGCCACGGUGAAUACGUUCCCGGGCCUUGUACACACCGCCCGUCACACCAUGGGAGUGGGCUGCAAAAGAAGCAGGUAGUUAACCUUCGGGAGGACGCUG
rnacentral:rRNA from 1 species